rnacentral:rRNA from 1 species
CCUACGGGUGGCAGCAGUGAGGAAUAUUGCUCAAUGGGGGAAACCCUGAUCCAGCGACGCCGCGUGAGUGAAGAAGUAAUUCGUUAUUUAAAGCUCUUUUAGCAGGGAAGAAAAUGACGGUACCUGAGUCCGAAGCCCCGGCUAACUACGUACCAGCAGCCGCAGUAAUAGGUAGGGGGCACGCGUUAUCCGGAUUUACUGGGUGUAAAGGGGGCGUAGGCGGGAGUGCAGGGCGGGAGGGAAAAGCGGGGGCUCAACCCCCGGACUGCUGUGGAAACUGUACGGCUGGAGUGCAGGAGAGGUAAGUGGAAUGCGUGGUGUAGCGGUGAAAUGCGUAGAUAUUAGGAGGAACACCGAUGGCGAAGGCAGCUUACUGGACUGUAACUGACGUUGAGGCACGAAAGCGUGGGGAGCAAACAGGAUUAGAUACCCGAGUAGUC